rnacentral:rRNA from 1 species
GACGAACGCUGGCGGCGUGCUUAACACAUGCAAGUCGAACGGUAAGGCCCUUCGGGGUACACGAGUGGCGAACGGGUGAGUAACACGUGGGUGAUCUGCCCUGCACUUCGGGAUAAGCCUGGGAAACUGGGUCUAAUACCGGAUAGGACCACUGCCUGCAUGGGUGGUGGUGGAAAGCUUUUGCGGUGUGGGAUGGGCCCGCGGCCUAUCAGCUUGUUGGUGGGGUGAUGGCCUACCAAGGCGACGACGGGUAGCCGGCCUGAGAGGGGGACAGGCACACAUGGGGUUGAGAUACGGCCCAGACUGCUACGGGAGGCAGCAGUGGGGAAUAUUGCACAGUGGGCGAAAGACUGAUGCAGCGACGCCGCGUGAGGGAUGACGGCCUUCGGGUUGUAAACCUCUUUUAGUAGGGAAGAAGCGAUUGUAACGGUACCUGCAGAAAAAGCACCGGCUAACUACCUGCCAGCAGCCGCCGUAA